rnacentral:rRNA from 1 species
CCUACGGGUGACAGCAGUGAGGAAUAUUGGUCAAUGGACGGAAGGCUGAACCAGCCAUGCCGCGUGAAGGUCAGUGCCCUAUGGGCGUUAAACUUCUUUUGUGCGGGAGCAAUAAUGGUCACGUGUGGCCAGACGAGAGUACCGUACGAAUAAGCAUCGGCUAACUCCGUGCCAGCAGCCGCGGUAAUACGGGGGAUGCAAGCGUUAUCCGGAUUUAGUGGGUUUAAAGGGUGCGUAGGCUGUGAGGUAAGUCAGCGGUGAAAUGCCCCCGCUCAACGGGGUGAAGUGCCAUUGAUACUGCCUUGCUAGAAUGCGGAUGCGGUGGGAGGAAUGUGUGGUGUAGCGGUGAAAUGCAUAGAUAUCACACAGAACACCGAUUGCGAAGGCAUCUCACGAGUCCGCGAUUGACGCUGAUGCACGAAAGCGUGGGUAUCAAACAGGAUUAGAUACCCGAGUAGUC